UACGAAGGUGGCAAGCGUUGUUCGGAUUCACUGGGCGUACAGGGUGUGUAGGCGGUUUGGUAAGCCUUCUGUUAAAGCUUCGGGCCCAACCCGGAAAGCGCAGAGGGUACUGCCAGGCUAGAGGACGGGAGAGGAGCGCGGAAUUCCCGGUGUAGAGGUGAAAUUCGUAGAUAUCGGGAGGAACACCAGUGGCGAAGGCGGCGAUCUGGGAAGAUACUGACGCUGAGGUGCGAAAGCGUGGGGAGCAAACAGG
rnacentral:rRNA from 1 species